ensembl:lncRNA
UUCCUCAUGAAGGAUGUGCACUGCUCUUAUGAAAUCCCACUGUCGUCAGAAGAAAAAACGAUUUGUAAGUUGAAGAAACUCUUGCCAUCUGGCUCAGAGCUAAUGGAUGACCCUUCAGGGCUUCUUGUCUUGGCCUCUGCUGAACUACUGGUCUCCGAUGGACAGUGAGACAGUGAGAGCAGGGUUAAUUGCUUUUCACAACACAGGAUCAUCAAAAUGAUUCGACAUGCAGUGCUGGAUGUCAGCACCAUCAGAGUGGAUGGAGUAAUGGAACUGACUAUUCAGGGUCCCUGGGGUAGAGCAUCAAAAAGCCUGGACUGGAUUCUUUGUUUUGAGCUUCAGUCUGAUGUUUCUAGAUCAUUAGAAUAACAACUAAUCUCAAAUUGGAAGAGAAAAUUGAUGGAACUGAACUUUACAUCAAUAAAAUAUAUUGGAG